GGCUCUGUGAGAUUAGUUGGUCAAAAGUGCCUGUCUAGUAAACAGGAGAUCCUGGGUUCAAAUCCCAGCAGUGCCU
rnacentral:tRNA from 1 species